AUGAGUUUCUUCCAAUUUUUGCUGUUCACAAAGUAUUGGCAUAACAAAAUCUAUUAAUAAGGGUAGUUAAAAUACUAGAAAGGAGUAUUCAUGGGAGAUUCAAAAGUUUCAAACAUGAAAAUAAUAACAAUGGCCCAGAUGAAAAAUGCAUUCUACUGACUUAUUUCAAUUCUUCUCAACAACCGGAUAGCACAUACGAACAGUUUACCUGCAUGCUAUAAAUCCGCCAUGG
rnacentral:misc_RNA from 1 species